UAACGAAUCUUCCGCAAUGGGGGCAACCCUGACGGAGCGACGCCGCGUGCGGGACGAAGUCCUUCGGGAUGUAAACCGCUUUUAGGGGAAGGGAAUCCUGACCGUACCCAGAAUAAGCCACGGCUAACUCUGUGCCAGCAGCCGCGGUAAUACAGAGGUGGCAAGCGUUGCUCGGAAUCACUGGGCUUAAAGGGCAUGUAGGCGGGCGAGUAAGCGCCUUGUGAAAUCCCCCGGCUCAACCGGGGAACCGCUUGGCGAACUGCUCGUCUCGAGGGAGACAGGGGCGACCGGAACUCUGGGUGGAGCGGUGAAAUGCGUAGAUAUCCAGGGGAACGCCGGUGGAGAAAUCGGGUCGCUGGGUCUUUCCUGACGCUGAGGUGCGAAAGCCAGGGGAGCGAACGGGAUUAGAUACCCCCGUAGUCC
rnacentral:rRNA from 1 species